AUGAAAGACACCGGAAAAAGCCACAAGGCGAACGGAAAGCCGUCGUUGGAGACAAGGAAGGAUCGGAAAUCCGCGUCAGGAAUGAGCGGAUCGCCGAAGAAAGGAGGUCACGGAGGUAAGUUCACAUGGAUCGGACAUAGCUACUCGGAUGUUCAGAUCGGACCGGAUCACGGAGCUUUGGAUUCCAAGGAUCCGAACUUCGAAGAUCGUGAAGAGAUCUCCGCCGUCUGA